CCUACGGGUGGCAGCAGUGGGGAAUAUUGGACAAUGGGGGGAACCCUGAUCCAGCCAUGCCGCGUGUGUGAAGAAGGCCCUCGGGUUGUAAAGCACUUUCAGUGAGGAAGAACGCCUGGUGGUUAAUACCCAUCAGGAAAGACAUCACUCACAGAAGAAGCACCGGCUAACUCCGUGCCAGCAGCCGCGGUAAUACGGAGGGUGCGAGCGUUAAUCGGAAUUACUGGGCGUAAAGCGCGCGUAGGUGGCUUGAUAAGCCGGUUGUGAAAGCCCCGGGCUCAACCUGGGAACGGCAUCCGGAACUGGCAAGCUAGAGUGCAGGAGAGGAAGGUAGAAUUCCCGGUGUAGCGGUGAAAUGCGUAGAGAUCGGGAGGAAUACCAGUGGCGAAGGCGGCCUUCUGGACUGACACUGACACUGAGGUGCGAAAGCGUGGGUAGCAAACAGGAUUAGAUACCCCGGUAGUC
rnacentral:rRNA from 1 species